UUGAGCAAGAGCCUCAGCAUGCCUUGAGCCUUUCCUACAUUCCUUGGGUUCGAUAGCAGGGUUUGCUUUUACUCCUCAGCCAGGGGAUCUGUAUAUCCUAAAGACAUCUGCAGAGCACAGGACAAGCUGUUCCUAUUAGAGAAGCACCGGCUUCCCAGCAGGCCCCUGCUGACAAGGUCUUGAAAAACAAGCUGGAACCUGUCGGAACCCAAGCAAGGACACAUUCAGCUGUCCACUGAGCCGAGAGAAGGGCAAGCAGGUGGCCAGCAAAGGCACCAGGGUGGUGACCUGCUAAGAGACAAGGACAAGACUGAUCGAUAACAUCUUUGCAACAGAAACUGCUCCCCCAGGAAAAGAACAGCAGAGCCUGCGCAGGACAGAACCCCCACCAGGCAGCAGUGACUCUAUCGUAACAAGGGUCCACCCAUCCAAUCCUGAGACAAUGAGCAACCGGACCACCCGUGACCACCAGGUUAGGACCACACCUGUGACAGGGACUGCUUAACAAUUAUGUACUCCUCUCUCUCCCUGUCCCAAUUCUUCCUCUACUUACCCUAAAGCUCACACCUGUGCCCUGAAGAUGGCACAAAGUGCUUAAUUUGCUUCUUCCCAGGGGUUGCCUGCGCUGAGUAAUAAAUUCCCUUCCUUUGCGCUUCACCGUCUCAUGUCUUUCUUUGGUUGUUGGGGCAAGUGGCCGGACCUGACACGUGAAACCCCUGGAGUCAGGCCUCUGGUUACGUCCCACCCUGACCUCUCUGGGUAAAAAGCUGCUGAACAUCUGGUCACCUGGAGCAGGAAGGAG